rnacentral:rRNA from 1 species
AUUGAACGCUGGCGGCAGGCCUAACACAUGCAAGUCGAACGAGUGGCGGACGGGUGAGUAAUGUCUGGGAAACUGCCCGAUGGAGGGGGAUAACUACUGGCAACGGUAGCUAAUACCGCAUACCAUCGGAUGGGCCCCGAUGGGAUUGGCUAGUAGGUGGGGUACCGGCUCACCUAGGCGACGAUCCCUAGCUGGGCUGAGAGGAUGACCAGCCACCGUGGAACUGAGACACGGUCCGGAAUCCGAAGAGAGGCAGCAUGGUGAAAUAUUGCGCAAGGGGGGCAACCCUUACGCAGCGAUGCCACGUGAAUGAAUAAGGCCUUCGGUUUGUAAAGUUCUUUCGGUAGCGAGGCGUUAACUCCAGAAGAAGCACCGGCUAACUCCGUGCCAGCAGCCGCGGUAAUUC